ensembl:snRNA U7 U7 small nuclear RNA
AAGUGUUACAGCUCUUUUAGAAUUUAUCCAGCAGGUUUCCCAGCUUUUACCCCU